GCUGUAAAGGCGGGAUGUAAAUUCAAGUCCACAUGCUAUGGAGAAAUCAGAGGUUUCGAAAGUGUCUCCAUGACUAUUUUUAAAGUCACAGCUAAUAAUUCACCGUCUGACGCUCUGGGGCUUGCCUGGAUCUAAAAAUAGUUGUUCCCGAGCUGGUCGGGGAACUGGCUGAGAAGGAGGGGAAGCUGCGUGGAAUACAUUCUGAACCAUCAGGAAACCCAAAGCAAAAUCGAAUCUGGCCACCUAAGAUUUGAUUGUUAAAAGAUGGAUUUGACAGCUGAUCCCGCAUUAAUUACAUUUGUGAAGACAUUUGAAAGAGAGGAAUGAAAUGACAGUGGCCCUGACACAGUCCUUGGGGUUUAAGAUGGAGUCUGACAUUGUAUCCAUCUCCAGUCCUGCAGCAGCUUAGCGACAUCAGAGACAAUUGAAGCAAAGGGCCCACUUAGGGCUGACAGCUGACCCUGCAGGCCGGCUGGGGAGCCCCUGAGAGGACCCAGGUCCAGCCACCAGGGAAGGGAACCAGCAUGGCCCCAGGGGCGCUUUAGGCUGAGGCUUCUCCCAGGAUGUGGAGGCUCAGCACUUUGCACAAAUCGAAUUCAUGCCAAAGGAAACUGAAAGCCCGCCUUUUUUCUCCCCCAGCGCACGUCUCAGAUUAUUUGGCCUUUGUCUGAAGACUGAAAACAGUUCUGUGUCCAAGAAACGGCUUCUGAUAAGGAAGACACAUUCCUAUCUCUCUCACACACACACACACACAUGCCCACGCACAUACGCACACACGGACCACCCACCCACCCAUCGGAAGUGCAUCAGCGGCCUCUGCCUCCCGCCAGAAUUCCCGGCUGCAGGACACAGCCCAGCAGGAGAAGCUUUUCCCUCCAUUCUUUCAAGGAAUGAACACAUCCCGAUUCUAACAAAAACACAGUAAACACAGAGGAGCCACGUGGGCUACGUUCAGGUAUGAGACAUUUGCGUCUUCUGUCCGCAGCGUUCUCAGGAACGUGUCACUGUGGACACAGACGUGGUUUUAAUGGGAAAGAGGUAAAAAUUUUCCCAGAAAAUUGUAUGUCAUAAGGCACCAUUCUGGAGACAAGCCCUUGAACUCAGGCUUUACAUUAUAUAAAGACAAUUUCUGGAGGUGAAGGAGAAAUUACAGUAGAAGGAG
rnacentral:lncRNA from 10 species